ACAUCCUGGUCAAAAGGUCUUCAACGUCAAACUCAUGCUGCCUGAAAAACUACAACAGCUACAAACAGCUAAAUUAGCCAAAAUUUACCGCUUUAGAACCAGCGUACACGGUGUUAAAAACGUUUUGUUUUUCCUGCAUUGUCGCUUUAUUUGGUUUCAAGAUAAAAAUGUCUGGAAAGGCGAAGGAAAUAUUACAAAUGGACCUAUAUGGGCUACUCGGCAUUGAGGGCUCAGCUACAACGAAAGAGAUCAAGAAAGCUUACAGACAAAAGGCCCUGACCUGCCAUCCAGACAAGAACCCAGACAACCCCAAAGCAGCGGAGCUUUUCCACCAGUUGUCCCAGGCUCUUGAAGUUCUCACUGAUGCUGCAGCCAGGGCUGCCUAUGACAAGAUUUGUGCUGCCAAGAAACAAGCUGAAGAACGAAACAAGAAAUUAGAUGACAAAAGGAAGAAAAUUAAACUUGACUUGGAAGCCAGAGAACAACGAGCAGAGACUCAGAACCAGGAGGAGGUGCGAAUCACAAGAACACUUGAAGAAGAGAUCGCCCGCUUAAGGGAGGAGGGAUCCAGACAGCUUGAAGAAGAGCAGAGGCUCAUCAGAGAGCAGAUCCAGAGAGAAAGGGAAGCAGAGCAACAACCAGGAGACUGCACUUACAGAGGAGGGGAGAGAUAUUCCCAGAGCAACAUAACUCCCAAACUGAAGUUAAAAUGGAAUUGCAAGAAAGACGACGAGAUGAAUGGAGGUUAUUCUCAAGAGGUUCUACUUAAACUACUUCAUAAGUACGGGGAUGUUUUAAAUGUGAUCGUAUCAAGUAAGAAGAAAGGAAGUGCUGUUGUGGAGUUUGCAUCUGCGAAAGCAGCUGAACUGGCUGCUAAAAAUGAAAGCGGUCUGAGUGGUAACCCCUUGAAGAUUACAUGGCUGGAAGGACAACCUGAGGUUGUUACUGCACCAUCUCAAUCUGGCCAGUUCGUUUCUUUACAGGAUCAGAGUGGGACUUUCUUCUUUAACCCCCCCAGUCGCAACACAUUGAUCAGCAGGUCACGGUCUGACUAAAGGGAGCUUAAAGACACAAAUGACUUCACCUCCAAUUCCAGUUCCUUUGCUUCUUGGGUCAACAAAUGCAUCUGGAGACAAUGUGGUUUUUCUGAUGAAGCGGGGUUCCCUUUCAAAUGAGCGCGACUAUGAGACGAUAGUGAUGAUGAGGAUGAGGCAGGCUGCCGAGCGUCAGAGGCUCAUAGAGCAGAUGCAGAGAGAGGAUGAUGAGGACGCUGCAAAGUCCUAGCACCAGAA